UACGGAGGGGGCUAGCGUUGUUCGGAAUUACUGGGCGUAAAGCGCACGUAGGCGGAUCAGUUAGUCGGGGGUGAAAUCCCGGGGCUCAACCCCGGAACUGCCUUCGAUACUGCUGGUCUGGAGUCCGAGAGAGGUGAGUGGAAUUCCGAGUGUAGAGGUGAAAUUCGUAGAUAUUCGCAAGAACACCAGUGGCGAAGGCGGCUCACUGGCCCGAUACUGACGCUGAGGUGCGAAAGCGUGGGGAGCAAACAGG
rnacentral:rRNA from 1 species